rnacentral:rRNA from 1 species
GACGAACGCUGGCGGCGUGCUUAACACAUGCAAGUCGAACGGCAAGGCCCUGCUUUUGUGGGGUGCUCGAGUGGCGAACGGGUGCGUAACACGUGAGUAACCUGCUCUUGACUUUGGGAUAACUUCAGGAAACUGGGGCUAAUACCGGAUAGGAGCUCCUGCUGCAUGGUGGGGGGUGGAAAGUCUCGGCGGUUGGGGAUGGACUCGCGGGUGAUCAGCUUGUUGGUGGGGUAGUGGCAUACCCAGGCAUUGGAUGGUAACCGGCCUGUGAGGGUGACCGGCCACAUUGGGACUACGGUACGGACCAGACUGCUACGGGAGGCAGCAGUGGGGAAUAUUGCACAAUGGGCGGGAGCCUGAUGCAGCAACGCCGCGGGCGGGAUGACGGCCUGCUGGUUGUAAACCGCUUUCGCCUGUGACGAAGCGGGAGUGACGGUAAUGGGUAAAGAAGCACCGGCUAACUACGUG